GUACAAAGAGUUGCGAUACCGUGAGGUGGAGCCAAUCUCAUAAAGCCGGUCUCAGUUCGGAUUGGAGUCUGCAACUCGACUCCAUGAAGUUGGAAUCGCUAGUAAUCGCGGAUCAGCAUGCCGCGGUGAAUACGUUCCCGGGCCUU
rnacentral:rRNA from 1 species